UGAUUGCACAAUAAGAAAAGUUAUAUAUGCCCAUGAUAUGGUUGGGCGUCUCUACCGGUUACCGUAAAUAAUCGAGCUAUAGGUUUUCAUAUUUUCAGA
rnacentral:ncRNA from 2 species